AACGAACGCUGGCGGCAUGCCUAACACAUGCAAGUCGAACGAGACCUUCGGGUCUAGUGGCGCACGGGUGCGUAACGCGUGGGAACCUGCCUUUAGGUUCGGAAUAACUCAGAGAAAUUUGAGCUAAUACCGGAUGAUGUCUUCGGACCAAAGAUUUAUCGCCUUUAGAUGGGCCCGCGUAAGAUUAGCUAGUUGGUGGGGUAAAGGCCUACCAAGGCGACGAUCUUUAGCUGGUCUGAGAGGAUGAUCAGCCACACUGGGACCGAGACACGGCCCAGACUCCUACGGGAGGCAGCAGUGGGGAAUAUUGGACAAUGGGCGAAAGCCUGAUCCAGCAAUGCCGCGUGAGUGAUGAAGGCCUUAGGGUUGUAAACUGCUUUUUGUACCGGAANAAACCCUUUACGUGUAAGAGGCUGAAUGUACGGUAAGAAUAAGGAUCGGCUAACUCCGUGCCAGCAGCCGCGGUAAU
rnacentral:rRNA from 1 species